rnacentral:lncRNA from 1 species
UCGGUCCGAAGACCUGUCUUCCAGCUGGACAUCGGGGUGCUGUGGCUGCAGGACCUCCAGUCGCCCACCGACAUCAUCCCCGACGAUGUCAAGAUUGAGCGGCUGAACUACCGGCAGCUCUCGCGAGCCACCGGCAUCUCGCUGCACGUGGUGCAGCGCUGCGUGCGAGAGACCGUCCUCUUGUACUGUCACCUCCUGAGGAACAAGGCGCACGUCUCAUUCGCCUUCAAGAACAUCGGCGUUAUGACGUACGAGGACGACUUCCUCUGCAUGAGGUUCUUGUCCAGCUGCAUUACAACGCUGGAGAGCAAUGCCAGCCUGACUGCACUGCUCCACACUAGAAUUUGGCCGGCCCGUUCUGCUGACUUCGGGUCAGAGACUACCGCUCAUGGAAUCCAGGUGUUGCCGAGGUUUCAGCUCGCUGUGAAAAAGAGCAGAGCAGAGGCCGCCGCAGAAAGGAACGCUGCAGUGGCGCGGAAGAUGAGUAGAGGGGGCACUGCCGGCAGGCUGCUACAGAAGCGGAAGACACUUCCCCCCUCCAUGCUGCUGCAAUACCAGGCAGGCUCAAGGCAGCAAGAUGUGGCAAAGAAGCCUUCUGCCAGCGUGCUCCCGCCGUGUGCAGGCAGCUCCCACGGGAGAAAGCAAGCAGGACAGAAGGAACCAUCUACUCCUGCCCAGACCAGCACUGCACUCCCUGCGACAGAGGACUCUAAGAGAGUGCUGCAGGAGCUCCGGGAAGUGUCUGCCCUGUGGAAUGAAGCAGACCGCACGUGGCCCGUGUACCAGCAGCAGCGGUUUGCCAGUGCGAGCGUGUGGGCUCCGCGUCCUCCAGCCCAGCCCCGGGGACAGCAAGUGAGGAGGAGGUGGAGGAAGGAUGUGGAUCCUCCGCCGGGAAGUAAAAUGGGAACAGCGACCAAGCUGGCACUGCAUGCCGACCUCCUCUCCCCGCGAGCAGCUCAGGUGCUCCAAAGGUUGGAGCCCCACCUCCAUCAGCAAGAGGCUUUUGCUGACACCGCGGAAAGAAACCGGCAGAAGCUGGAGCUGAAGCGGCAGCUCCCCUGUGCUCGAUGCUCGUACCGCUCCAGAGGGGAAGGUGCUGGCAACAGUGCUGGAGCUGUCGGCAAGGGGGCUGGGAAGCUGUCCGGAUUUCCACCUGUGAAUGGCAAAUCGUAGAAUCAAAGACUUGUAGAAUGGCCUGGGUUGAAAAGGACCUUGAAGAUCAUCUAGUUUCCACCCCCCUGCAAUGUGCAGGGUUACCAGCCACCAGUCCGGGCUGCCCAGAGCCACAUCCAGCCUGGCCUUGAAUGCCUCUGGGGAUGGGGCAUCCACCACCUCUCGGCAGGCUGUUCCGGUGCGUCACCAGCCUCCGUGGAGUGAAGAACUCCCCCUAAUAUCUAACCAAAUUCUUCCCCCCUUUCUCAGUUGCAAACCAUUCCCCCUUGUCGUAUCACUGUCCACCCUCGUAUAAACAGCCGUUUCCCCUCCAGUUUAUUUCUUCCCUUCAAGCAUUGGAAGGCCGCAGUGAGGUCUCCCUGGAGCCUUCUCCUCUCCAAACUAAACAAGCCCAGUUCCAUCAACCUUUCUUCACAGGAGAGGUGCUCCAGCCCUCUGAUCAUCUUUGUGGCCCUCCUCUGGACUUGAUCCAACAGGUCUGCGUCUUUCCUGUACUGGGGGCCCCAGGCCUGGACGCAGAGUAUCCCAGAUAAAAAUAAAGAGAAUUGGCGUUCUUUC